AAAUUUACAUAACAUUGCUUUUCAAGUUUCAGGAAUCACUUUAGCAGCCACAUUUGAAAGUAUAUAUCUAGCAAACCAAGCAAAAGCAAAAUUAAAGAUAGAAGAAGAAUAAGAAGCCAUCUAAAGAAAAAACAACCCAAUGCAAAAAUCACCAAAAUCAUGUAAAAAAAGAAGAGAUAAAAAUCAAUUGAAAGCAAAAUAGAUCUACACACAUCAAUAUAGAUAUUUUUGUCCUAAACAAACAAUUCAAUUCGAGUCCACACAUAUCUGAAGUACAUGAAUAACGAAUAACAAAUUACAAAUGACAAAGCCAUAACCCCCUUAAACUUAUGCCUAUUCUCAAUAAUGCUCUUAACAAUUCUAACCAAGAAAGCUACACCUGCAACAACUAUUAACCGCCUACUGCACCAGACAUAUAAUGUAACUAAACAUACCAAUUACCACAAAUUGAGACAUGACCAAGAGCCUAAAAAAAUACAUAUGGCUUUCCUUCUAAAAAAGUAUCAGCAUUACACACGUAAAGUAUCAACACAACACAUCUAUGACAAUUAAUUUUUAAGAAUCAAUUGAUACAUACACAAACGUUGUCAGACCAAUCUACAUGUUCUGUAAUGAAUUAUUCACUACAUGUGGUUAGCAUUCACUAUGCUCUUGCUAUACCUACUUUUGCUUCACAACCAAUAUGAUCUCUACGAUACAUACCUUCACAUCAUAAGUGUUUUAUAAUUAUAUCAAGCAUAGAUAAUGUCAUUUGUAAUCUUUAUGUCAGUUUAUUGCCCAAACAUGGAGAAUGUCGCCAUCUGCCACAAUUAUCCAAGGUGAACAAUAUUGUAAAGUAUUCAACAGUCAAAUGCUUAUUGUCCAAAUGUAAAAAUAAAGUCAUCAUUUUCCCAAUGUCAUUGACACUAAUGUUUGAUGAAGAAAAAAAGAGAAUUGAUUGCUAGAAUAGUCUUUAAUUACCUUUAGGUGAAGCUUGCAAGUGUGUUUGGUUGCAACUCGUACUAUUUGUAUUGGAGCAGAAAGUUAUAUUCCUUGUUUUUUAUAAUUGUCAAGUUGCUUCAUCUCUUGCCAUUUUCUGUAUGACAAUUUAAGUAGGUAAUUUCAUAUGAACUAACAAAGUAAACAUUGAAAAAAAGAAGCAAACCAUAGGCUUUAACAAUAGAUGAGCAAUCAACAUCUUAAUACUGUGACAGUCAAAAUAAUGCCAUAGCAUUCAUAAUGCUUCAGAUUUGAGAAAAAUGUUCUACCACAAUAUCUUCAA
rnacentral:lncRNA from 1 species